rnacentral:lncRNA from 1 species
AAUUCUUCAAACUAUAAAGAAUAUAAAAAAAAACAUAUAACCUAUAAUGAAAAGACACAAAUUAUAUACAUACUAUAUUUAUUAAUUUGACAACUUUUUCGAACUAAUUUUAGUAGAAACACACACAUUUUAAGAACUAACUACUAUCAUAGGUAUGGUAUAAAUAUAUGAAAAAACAUGUACUACUGUUUCUAAUUGAAGUAUCAAACGAAAGACAUCAAAAAGGAAAAAAAAGUAUCAAACGAACAUGGCUCACUGAAAAUAAAUCAGUGUAACGAAAACAAAUUAGUUAGUAUAUCGGCAUGUUCAUAAAUCAGUGUAACGAAAACAAUUAGUUUCUGGGAUUUACACCAAAAAGAAAAAAAAAAGUUUCUGGGAACAAAUAAUCAAAUUCUAUUUUUUCUAAAGUUAAUAAUCAAAUUCUUCAGCCAACCAUUUUUCCCCUUUUCCAUUCAAACCUAACUGGGUAUUGUUCGAACAAUUCUGCAUCAAUUAUAAUUAGUUACACAUACAAGUAUGAAAAGGGACAUCAGUAGAAUUUGACUAAGCUACUCUCAGAUAAUUUCUUCUGGCAAAACAUCAAAUACCAAUCAACAAAUAAUAGAAAAGCGCAAUGAAAAUCGAGUAGAAAAACAUUAUAAUUAACUUCUGUAAAAAACUUGGGAAAAUACCAAUAUCUGUAAGUAAUAUGAGAACAAAGAUUGUUAGUUGGCAAAAAAGAAACGUGAUUCCCUCCAUCUCCUUCCCACGCAGUCCCAAACUUUUAAAAAGAGAUAUGUCCCUUCAAGUAAAAAAAAAUAACCACCCACUGGUUUAAUAGUUUUUCCUGUAAUUAACGAAUCAAGGGUGAAACUGGAGUAAGAAAUUGCAGAGAAAAAUUCAGAUACAAAAAAUAAAAGGAAACGGCUAUUGUGUUUUUGAAACGGUUAUUGUGUUUUUUUCAUAAUCUGAUCUAAAAGGAAACAAAAAAAAGAACAAAGAGAUUUUUUUACGCACCC